AAUGAACGGCUAAUGAAGACUCAACUGUCUCUUGCAGCCUACCAAUGAAACUGAUCUCUUAGUUCAAAAGCUAAGAUUUCUUCACAAGACGAGAAGACCCUGUGGAGCUAUUAAACCAAACUCACAAAAAUGACCCCUUGGUUUUCAGUUGGGGCGACUUCGGAGCAUAAAAAACCCUCCGACACAGUACCAAUCAAACCCAGAUGGACACAUCAAUACACCAAGACCCAGUAGCUUAUUUUUAAGCUAUCUGAUCAAUGAACCAAGUUACCCCAGGGAUAACAGCGCCAUCCUCUCUUAGAGUCCCUAUCGACGAGAGGGAUUACGACCUCGAUGUUGGAUCAGGACACCCUAAUAGUGCAGCCGCUAUUAAUGGUUCGUUUGUUCAACGAUUAA
rnacentral:rRNA from 1 species